rnacentral:lncRNA from 1 species
GUUUAGAACGUAUGUUUGUCGUAUUGUUAACACGGUUUUGUGCCAGUAGGACUGCGGCUCAACGUUUAACGAUUGUGUAUAUUGCUUAUUGUUUCUGAAGGAAUUUAAGAAUUUGAUGGAGGUUAAAUCGGUUCAGGUGAACAGUGAUGAUGAUGAUUCGAUGUCGAGCAAGAGCUAACCCUAAUUUCAACCCCAAUUUUACUUUUGUAUGUAAGGCUUUUAUAUACAUAUUUAAAGCUUAUGAAGUUAAUUCAGAUAAUAUCAGCCCCUAAACCCUUCUUCUUCUUCUUCAGUAUUUGCUUGUAUCACGUAUUCGUUUAAUCGGGUAUGUAAAUUUAAUUGCCUUAUUGAACCCUAGCAUAGACAAACUAUAAACGAUUAAACGUACUUCAGUUCAUUAUGCAUAGUUUUUUAACAGAAUAUGUUGAACAACAAUAUGCAUGCACUUUUUUGAACAUGAUAUUAAAUAAAGUAUUACUUACUUGCUCCGCUAGACCUUAGACAUGAACAAUAUAUUGGCUUUCUUGAUUGAUUUGGAGAUUCGUUUGCUGUCAGUUGACUUUAUCAUCUGCUGAACUAAACCAUUAAGCUUUUCAUUAAAAUUCUACACACAUUUAUGCUUGUUUUUUAACAGCAAUUCUGCACAUAUGUUUGUACAGGCCUUAUUGAAUCUUUUAUAAAUGAUCAAUCACUUUCCAUACCAGUCUCAUGUUUUUCACGUGCCUUCCGCCUUCUUUUUGCCAGGUUCAGCUUCUUUUAUCUCUAGAAAAUAGAUAAGAUAUUAGUACCAAAAUGUAGGAUCUAGGAAUUAUUUGCAUUUUGCAGUAAGUUUGGUGGUGUGGCUUCCUCAUCGGACAGAGAGGCUACAGAUGGGGUGUGUUAAUAAGGAAAUCGUUUGCAGCUACGCACGACCGCUAACAAAAAAUGGAAGAAAGCGGGAGAUCUCGGGUUCGGUCGACGGUUGCAUGAUGUAGAUGAAGUUUUACGCAAUUUGCGGUCCAGGUUUUUUUUUUGUUUAAAUGCAAUUAAAUAAUUCAUGUGCUUUUGAGCAAUUUUAUAAUAUAAUUAGUGAUCUAUGUAUGGUGGGAGAUAAACUUCAAACACUGGUAACUAACCAUGAGUUUUUUCGAUCAUAAACAUUGUAAAUGUGUAAUUUAUUAUGUCUCCAUU